UGAAGAACUGCUCUUUGGUGCUUUCAAUCAUUUUAAUGAGUGUUCAUACAUAAACUUAGAAGAUCACAGACAUUCAUUGUCAUAGGAGUACAUAAUAUUGCCUAGUGAGGCCAAAGUAACACCUAAGUUCCUGCCUACAGAGAAAGUAUGUGAAAAAGUGGGUGAACUUUGUAACGGUCAUUCACAAAACAGGAAUGAAUCAAAAAAUAUGUACUUUCUUUGCAAAAGAAUGCAGAAAGACUCCUGAGACCACCUAAAAAAUUGCAAGAAAUCAA
rnacentral:lncRNA from 1 species